rnacentral:sRNA from 1 species
GCUGGGCAUUGUGGCGGGUGCCUGUAGUCCCAGUUACUUGGGAGGCGGAGGCAGGAGACUCGCUUGAGCUCAGGAGUUGGAGGUUGCUGUGAGCUGUGAUUUUAUAGUACUCUACACAGGGUGACAGCUUGAGGCUCUGUCUCAAAAAAAAAGAAGCUGUUUUAUUAUCACUUUGAAGAGUUGAUAGAAAUCCAAACUUAGGAAUAAUUUUUUUUUUUUUGAGACAGGGUCUCAAGUUGUCACCCUUGGUAGAGUGCUAUGGUGUCACAGAUCACAGCACCCCUCAUCUCUUAGGCUUAAG